rnacentral:rRNA from 1 species
UACAGAGGUGGCAAGCGUUGUUCGGAAUUACUGGGCGUAAAGGGCGCGUAGGCGGCCUUCUAAGUCAGACGUGAAAUCCCCCGGCUUAACCGGGGAACUGCGUCUGAUACUGGAUGGCUUGAGUUCGGGAGAGGGAUGCGGAAUUCCAGGUGUAGCGGUGAAAUGCGUAGAUAUCUGGAGGAACACCGGUGGCGAAGGCGGCAUCCUGGACCGACACUGACACUGAGGAGCGAAAGCCAGGGGAGCAAACGGG